AACACUAGUUCCGUAGGUGAACCUGCGGAAGGAUCAUUAAUGAGAGGGGGACUUGUCCCCGGGGGCUCCGGCCCCCGACUCUUUACCCUUUGAUUACUUACCUUCGUUGCUUUGGCGGGCCUUGGAGGCUUGCGCCACAUACCGGUCGUACGGUGCCCUAGGGCUCUACCCGGUGCGCGCCCGUCGGAGGAAACCAUAAACUCUUUAUUUCAGGUGAUGUCCGAGCUUAUAAAACAAUUAAAUAAAACUUUCAACAACGGAUCUCUUGGUUCUGGCAUCGAUGAAGAACGCAGCGAAAUGCGAUAAGUAAUGUGAAUUGCAGAAUUCAGUGAAUCAUCGAAUCUUUGAACGCACAUUGCGCCCCUUGGUAUUCCGGGGGGCAUGCCUGUUCGAGCGUCAUUACACCCCUCAAGCAUAGCUUGGUAUUGGGCCCUCGCCUACCCACGGCGUGCCCGAAAGACAGUGGCGGUCGAGCGUGACUUUAAGGCGUAGUAAAAUCUCCCGCUUUGAAAGCUCACGUCCGGGCCCGCCAGUAAGCCCCAUCUUUUUCAAAAAUUGACCUCGGAUCAGUAGGGAUACCCGCUGAACUUUAGCAUAUCAUAGCGGAAGGAAAA
rnacentral:rRNA from 1 species